CUGGCAGUGUCGGGUUGAAGGAGCCCCAGUAAAGCAAGCAGAGGGGCUCAGACAGCAACUCCUGCUUCUGAGCUUCCACAACGGCUGCCAGGUGUGCCCCGGCCACCCCAAAUACCUUCCCUACCAGCUGGGGGACAUCAUCCAUCAGCAGCAUUAAAGCCAAGGUUAAGAUGGGCACAGCUCUAGGUGGCCCAUAGCUUGGGGUUCAUCUCAGAAGGAGGGACUUCAUUUGGUCACAGAGAAGACGUGCCUUCCCUGCAAGGAGCAGUAAAGAAAAUCCACAGCCUCUUGAAGAGGCUUAAAUGUAUUUUAUAGGUACCUCCAUUUCAACAUUUUCCUUCCUAAUCCACGAGAAAAAGGGAGAUGUUGGGAUUUGAUCCAAAAGAUCUUACAACCGAUUUUGUGGUGAAACAGAGAAAAACCGUGAGCAGCCAACUCAGUGGAAACCUGCAUGUUAAACGCAGAGAAGCACAAAGUGUUUGAUGCUGUUAGAGUUCAAAAUAACAAGGAAAAAUGGUGGGGAAUUUACCUGCCUUGGAACAAAGGCUGGGAGGCCUGGCCAUUCCACCGGGAGUGCUCACCCUGGGAGCACCAGUGUCUACCUUGGGAGGAAGCAAGCUGCCACCAGAAUAAAAGCAGGGUGGAGCUGCUCCCACUCCAAGGCAAGAGCCUGCAAGGCCCAUCCUUUGGGGACUCGUCUUUUGUGUGAAGGCACAUUGUCUAGCAGAGGAAGAGGUUGGUACCUGGUGGAGCAGGGCCAAGAUUCCAUUUUCCCCAGGCAGCUCCCUCCUCUGCCUGCUGUAGCGCUGGCCAGGGCUGGGAGAGGAGGGGGAGUGUGUUCAGCACUGCUGCUGGAACGGAGUGGCCCUCUCAGGAGGAUCCCGGUUGCUUCAGGACCUUGCUUUUGCACUGGUUUGUGUCCACAAAGGAAAGGCAUGCAGAAGGCAGCACCAUCACCCCAGCCCUGUAGUCUGGACCUAGAAAGGCUUCCAAUAAAGCCAGGUGCUGCUGUCCAGGGCAGUUGGAGUUGUUCUGUGCCUUCUUUGGGGGGGA
rnacentral:lncRNA from 1 species